AACGCAUAUUGCGCCCUCCGGCACUCCGGGGGGCACACCCGUCCGAGCGCCAUUUCGACCCUCAAGCCCGGCUUGGUGUUGGCGCGGGUCCGCGGGGACCCCCGCCGAAAUUCGUAGGCGCCGUCGCCCGGCCCCCAGCGCAGCAGGCUCACGCACGCGAUGGGGGCGGGCCCGGCGGCCGCCCGCUAUUCCACAGAGUAUUGGCCUCGGAUCGGGUGGGGAUACCCGCUGAACUUAA
rnacentral:misc_RNA from 1 species